UGAGAAUUGAACCUGGUCCUCUGUU
rnacentral:piRNA from 1 species